AGAUACAGAAAUUUCAUAAAUUUCAAAUUUCAAUUCUGAAUAUCUUUUAGAUAUUAGGCUAUAAACAUUGUGUGAAACAUUUCCACUUUUAUGGAGGGCGGCACGCUAUAAACUGUCUCCAUUGAAAUUAUCGCUUAAAGGUUGCGCAAUUAAUUAUUGGAAUAGUUACACGCGGGCACACGUACGUAUUAUCGCCUACGUUCAUUUUCGUCCACGCAUUGUUUAACACUACAGGAAACUAAAUAAACCGUCCAUUGAGAUAUAACAGGUUCAGUGAGAGAGAGAGAGUUUUUGCGUAGAAAAAGUAAACAGUUAAACGGGAGCAAGUUAAUAGUGAACAGAACCGCUGUAUCAAUGUAAAUCAAUAAAAUCGAUGAUGAAACACGGUCUGACUUGCUACUAUGUAUGGGUGACGAACGUCAAUCGGAUAUGUAAGCAGACGUAUUGUGACUACAAGUUGUGCAUUUUACGUGAUCACUUCCAGGGACCACAUACAGGGUGUGCCGCUAUGAAACGUAUGUGGAGCGUGCGAGGGCUAGGCACAGGCGCACCCACGAUAAAUAAGAUUUAAAUCUGUCAGUAUCCUUUUAUUUCGUUCGUUCAACAUUUACAGUAAUUGCUAAAUAGAGGAAAAGAUGCAUAACCAUAAGAAAAAAUCAAACAUGUGGGUGGCCAAAGAAUCAGCCGGUUGAAAAUUUACUCGUUCUACAAUUUGAAUACUAAAUAUACGUAUAAUUCAUUACUCUAUGGGAAUGUCCUUGUCAGGUCUAAGGCGGCAAACUGGAUAUCAGGAUCAAUAAAGAUAUUGGUGGUAGGUAUAGGACUGAACCAAUGCAGGACUCACCGACAAGAUCAAUAAGCAGCGUAAGCGGACCCUUCUUCGCAGGGCAUUCAAUGCUUUCUUAUAAACGCCCUUUCAUGUCGCCUUUAUACUGGUCCUAUCCUUACAAAAAUCCAGGUGUCUGCUAUUGCAAGAGUGGCCUGUACAUAACAUGCACAGUACAUACAUAUAUACGAAGUCGUCAACGAGAAAUAUUCGUAAAUAAGAUUGUACCUUGUAAAAACAACAACUGCGUCGUAUAUACUUGAUCUAUAGUGCUAAUUUUUAUAAAAAUAUACUAAAUUGGUA